GUCUGGUUUACAGUCUCUUAACAUAUGAAAAGGGUCUCUGUUUACAGUCUUAGGAAUUACAUAUGAAAGCGGCUUCGGUUUACAGUCUUAGAAAUUAACAUAU